GAACCCGGCUGUAACCGUGGAACUGCCGGAGGCUCACCGUGAGCUAGAGACAGAAGCUGCAGGGCCCAACGGGAAGCUACCUCGUGUCUCCAGGCUCUGGCAAGGGUAAAAGCAACCAUUUAAAACACGGAACACUCUGUUCUUAACAGGUCUGCCAUCAGAAGAGCUGUUCUACCACGGCAUAGCCUGCCUGAGGGAGGUCAUACCAAGACAUGGCUUCCUCUAGCUCGCCUAACUAAGCUAGAGGGGAAGAAGAAGCCAGCUGGGGAAGAAGUGAUGAAGCUCGCCGUUGGGGUGCAGGCUGAACAAAGACAGAGACAAAUUACAGGACUGCGUGCGGGUCCCUUUGUUCGCCUCACCGUGGCUCGCUCGCCUUGCUGACACAGUGCCACGGACAUAUUCAUCUACUAAAGCGGUGCCUCUCG
rnacentral:lncRNA from 1 species